CGGUCUAACCGGUAGGCCAAACCGGUCUGACUGGUUGGGCGCCUUCCAGCUCAACAAUAUCUGCUCACGGUUUUUAUUUUUCUUUCACUCACUCUCUUUCUUCCCCGUUGAGCCAGAGCCGAGCUGAGCUCGUCCUGUUGUCGCCCCUCCCUUCGAUCUCCUCCCUCCGGUCACCGUGCUUCGAUUCCUUGUGCGAGCACCUUCCCCGGCUCCUCCUCCACCUUCCCCAACCUCCAGCCCAGCCUCUCCCCGGCCAGAAUCGUCCCAGCCAUCACCCGUCACCAUGGGAGGCCGUUCGAAGCUUUGUCAUCGUCGAUCCGCCUCUCCGGUCGUCCUCCGCCCAAAUAAACCCCCAAAAUGGGUUCGCGAUUCUGGUGCAUGCGAUCUCGUGACUGUGGAACAGGCGUAGCCGUGAAGCCCAAGAGCUAGCGAAGCAGGAUUGAGAAGGAAUUCGUGAAGACCCGGCCCAACGGUCGGAAGGGCCCAAGGCCUU